GAGUGAAGCGGCAACAGCUCAAAUUUGAAAUCUGGCUUCGGCCCGAGUUGUAAUUUGCAGAGGAUGUUUAUGGUGCGGUACCUUCCGAGUUCCCUGGAACGGGACGCCACAGAGGGUGAGAGCCCCGUCUGGUUGGAUACCAAACCUGUGUUAAACUCCUUCAACGAGUCGAGUAGUUUGGGAAUGCUGCUCUAAAUGGGAGGUAAAUCUCUUCUAAAGCUAAAUACCGGCCAGAGACCGAUAGCGCACAAGUAGAGUGAUCGAAAGAUGAAAAGCACCUUGAAAAGGGGGUUAAACAGUACGUGAAAUUGUUAAAAGGGAAGCGUUUAUGACCAGACUUGUGUCGUGUGGCUCAUCCGAGGUUCUCCCCGGUGCACUCCACACGGCUCAGGCCAACAUCGGUUUUCGUUGGGGGAUAAGAACAGCAGGAACGUGGCCCUUCUCGGAGGGUGUUAUAGCCUGCUGUACGAUACCCUGAUGGGGACCGAGGACCGCGCUUCGGCUAGGAUGUUGGCGUAAUGGUCAUUAGCGACCCGUCUUGAAACACGGACCAAGGAGUCGUCCAUUAGAGCGAGCGUUUGGGUGUAAAACCCGCACGCGUAAUGAAAGUGAAAUUAGGUGAGAGCUUCGGCGCAUCAUCGACCGAUCCUGAAGUUUACGGAUGGAUUUGAGUAAGAGUUUUAACGGACGGACCCGAAAGACAGUGAACUAUGCUUGAAUAGGGUGAAGCCAGAGGAAACUCUGGUGGAGGCUCGCAGCGGUUCUGACGUGCAAAUCGAUCGUCAAAUUUGAGCAUGGGGGCGAAAGACUAAUCGAACUGUCUAGUAGCUGGUUACCGCCGAAGU
rnacentral:rRNA from 1 species